AACUUGCUAUGCUAUAAAAGUUAUUACUCAGUAAACAGUAACCUGUUGGGAAACUCCGGUUAAAAUCCGGGGCUGUGCGGCAGCUGUAAGUCAUGGACUCGCCAAUUGACAAGCCAGAAUGCCAACUCGUUACAGACCACUCUA
rfam:Limnoraphis robusta CS-951 contig012, whole genome shotgun sequence.